GAUAAAAUGGCUGAGGUUAGGCAUUAAACUGUAAAUUUAACUAGGGGUCGAAGAGAUCCUUUUAUCA
rnacentral:tRNA from 1 species